GGUGAAAUUGUGAAGGGCGCAUGGUGGAUGCCUAGGUGUCAAGUAGCGAAGAAGGACGUGGCAAGCUGCGAAAAGUCACGGGGAGCCGCAAGCUGGCAUAGAUCCGUGGAUAUCCGAAUAGGGGAACCGGCUCUUGGAUAGUACCGAGAGCGUCUGUAAGCUGAAUUGAUAGGUUUACGGAGGUGGACCCAGGGAACUGAACCAUCUAAGUACCUGGAGGAAAAGAAAGAAAGAUCGAUUUCCUGAGUAGUGGCGAGCGAAAGGGAAAGAGCCUAAACCUGCUUUUGCGUAGAAGGGUGCAGUUGUUGCAAGGUGGGUGUUGUGGGGUUUAUAGUCGCCGGUCUGCAUGCCGGUGGGUAGAGAGUUGGCUACAUUAGUUGAACAGUCCUGGAAAGACUGACCGGAGAAGGUGAAAGUCCUGUAGGCGAAAGUGUAGGAACGCUACGUAUAAAACCCCGAGUACUACGGGAUUCGGGAAAGCUCGUGGGAAUCAGCGUGGACCGUCACGCAAGGCUAAAUAUAACUUGAUGACCGAUAGUGAAAAAGUACCGUGAGGGAAAGGUGAAAAGUAUGCCGAUGAGGCAAGUGAAAAAGAACCUGAAACCAUGUGCCUGCAAGCAGUCAGAGGGCUAUGCCAUUCUUCGGAGUGGAAUGCCUGAUGGCGUGCCUAUAGAAGUAUGAUCCGACGAGUUACCUUACGUAGCGAGGUUAAGCGGUAAAAUGUGGAGCCGAAGCGAAAGCGAGUCUGAAUAGGGCGAUAGUUGCGUGAGGUAGACCCGAAACUAGGUGAGCUACCCUUGGUCAGGAUGAAGGCCCGGUAACACGGGUUGGAGGUCCGAAUGCCUCAACGUUGAAAAGUUGAGUAAUGAACUGUGGGUAGGGGUGAAAAGCCAAUCGAACCUAGAGAUAGCUGGUUCUCCCCGAAAUAGUUUUAGGACUAGCCUCAUUUAUGAGACUAUUGGGGGUAGAGCGCUGGAUGGGCUAGGGGGCAUACCAGCUUACCAAACCCAACCAAACUGCGAAUACCAAUAGUUGCUAGAUGGGAGUCAGGCAGUGGGGGAUAAGCCUCAUUGCCGCGAGGGAAACAGCCCAGACCGUCGGUUAAGGUCCUGGAGUUGGCGCUAAGUGGGAAAGGAUGUGGAGAUCCUUAGACAGCCAGGAUGUUGGCUUAGAAGCAGCCACCAUUCAAAGAGUGCGUAAUAGCUCACUGGUCGAGGGUCUCUGCGCCUAAAAUUUAACGGGGCUAAGCGCCGCACCGAAACCACGGGUUUAAUACGAAGAGUAUUAAGCGGUAGGGGAGCGUUCUGCGGUAGGUUGAAGGUAUACCGUAAGGAGUGCUGGACGAAGCAGAAAUGAGAAUGUCGGAACGAGUAGCGAUAAGGCGGGUGAGAAACCCGCUCGCCGUAAGUCUAAGGUUUCCUGGGGAAGGUUAAUCCGCCCAGGGUUAGUCGGUCCUAAGCUGAGGCCGAGAGGCGUAGGUGAAGGGAAACAGGUUAAUAAUCCGUACCAUGGUGUACUGAGUUAUCGAUGGAGUGACGCAGGAGGGCAUGUCUGAACGCUGGGGGCCGUGAGGCAGGCGUUUCUAAGGGUGUAGGGAGGUCUGGCAGGGAAAUCCGCUGGGCUGAUAAUUCUGAGACCUGAGGGGCUUCCGAAGAAUAGUAGGAGGUGAGAACAGAUCCCACGCUGCUGAAAAAAGCUUCUAAGAGAGGUAUACUGUGACCGUACCGUAAACCGACACAGGUGGACGAGGAGAGAAUCCUAAGGCGCUCGAAAGAACCCACGUUAAGGAACUAGGCAAAUUGACUCCGUAACUUCGGGAUAAGGAGUGCUCCGUGUAGUGUGACUGGAAUGAUGUUUAGCAAUAGGUGUCAUCGAAGGGUAGCAUGAGGGAGUUGCAGAGAAUAGGCUCAGGCGACUGUUUAUCAAAAACACAGGACUCUGCUAAGGCGAAUAGCCGAUGUAUAGGGUCUGACGCCUGCCCAAUGCUGGAAGGUUACGGGGAGGGGUUAGGAUGGGUAACUGUCCGAAGCUCUGAACUUAAGCCCCAGUGAAUGGCGGCCGUAACUAUAACGGUCCUAAGGUAGCGAA
rnacentral:rRNA from 1 species